AAAGGAGCUAGGUUGUUAUUUACAAUGGAAAGAACUGUAAUUUGCAUGCAUUGAAGGUUCAGUUUGUGAGCCAGGUCAACAGAAUGUUGUUUACUGAAUGAGCUUCCUAUGAAGUACUUUGCUAAGCGUUGAAGGGGGUAUAGUAAUUAGGAUGCUUUUUGGCCAACUCACGGGCUAAGUGAUAAGGAAAUCUGUUGUCUUACAUAAGAAGGAGCAGUCUGCAAGCGCGAUGUGUCAAGCUUCUGCUGUCCUCUGUGAUCCUCAUGGUUCUGCCC
rnacentral:lncRNA from 1 species